CCUACGGGCGGCAGCAGUGAGGAAUAUUGGUCAAUGGUCGGGAGUCUGAACCAGCCAAGCCGCGUGAAGGAGGAAGGUACAGAGUAUCGUAAACUUCUUUUGUAAGGGGACAAACCCUGGGACGUGUCCCCGGUUGAGUGUACCUGACGAAUAAGCAUCGGCUAACUCCGUGCCAGCAGCCGCGGUAAUACGGAGGGUGCGAGCGUUAUCCGGAUUUAUUGGGGUGAAAGGGUGCGCAGGCGGUUUGUUAAGUCAGCGGUGAAAGCCCGGGGCUCAAACCCGGCACCGCCGUUGAGACUGUUGGUCUCGAGUAGGGGAGAGGUAGGCGGAAUGCAUGGUGUAGCGGUGAAAUGCAUAGAUAUCAUGCAGAACACCGAUUGCGAAGGCAGCAUGCCGGA
rnacentral:rRNA from 1 species